AGAGCGAACGCUGGCGGCAGGCCUAACACAUGCAAGUCGAGCGCCCGUAGCAAUACGGGAGCGGCAGACGGGAUAGUAACACGUGGGAACGCGCCCUUCGGUUCGGAAUAACUCAGGGAAACUUGAGCUAAUACCGGAUACGCCCUUACGGGGAAAGAUUUAUUGCCGAAGGAACGGCCCGCGUCCGAUUAGCUAGUUGGUGAGGUAAUGGCUCACCAAGGCGACGAUCGGUGGCUGGUCUGAGAGGAUGACCAGCAUCACUGGGACUGAGACACGGCCCAGACUCCUACGGGAGGCAGCAGUGGGGAAUAUUGGACAAUGGGCGCAAGCCUGAUCCAGCCAUGCCGCGUGGAUGAUGAAGGCCUUAGGGUUGUAAAGUCCUUUUAACGGGGAAGAUAAUGACGGUACCCGUAGAAUAAGCCCCGGCUAACUUCGCGCCAGCAGCCGC
rnacentral:rRNA from 1 species